GCCCACAUCUGCCCAUACCAUCCUGAACGUGCCUGAUCUUGUCUGAUCUCAGAAGCUAAGCAGGGUCAGGUCUGGUUAGUACUUGAAUGGGAGACCUCCUGGUAAUACAGGGUGCUGUAGGCU
rnacentral:rRNA from 1 species